AACGAACGCUGGCGGCAUGCCUAACACAUGCAAGUCGAACGAGACCUUCGGGUCUAGUGGCGCACGGGUGCGUAACGCGUGGGAACCUGCCCUUAGGUUCGGAAUAACUCCCCGAAAGGGGUGCUAAUACCGGAUAAUGUCUUCGGACCAAAGAUUUAUCGCCUUUGGAUGGGCCCGCGUUGGGUUAGCUAGUUGGUAGGGUAAAAGCCUACCAAGGCGACGAUCCAUAGCUGGUCUGAGAGGAUGAUCAGCCACACUGGGACUGAGACACGGCCCAGACUCCUACGGGAGGCAGCAGUAGGGAAUAUUGGACAAUGGGCGAAAGCCUGAUCCAGCAAUGCCGCGUGAGUGAUGAAGGCCUUAGGGUUGUAAAGCUCUUUUACCCGGGAUGAUAAUGACAGUACCGGGAGAAUAAGCUCCGGCUAACUCCGUG
rnacentral:rRNA from 1 species